rnacentral:rRNA from 1 species
GAGUUUGAUCAUGGCUCAGAACGAACGCUGGCGGCAUGCCUAACACAUGCAAGUCGAACGAAGUCUUCGGACUUAGUGGCGCACGGGUGCGUAACGCGUGGGAAUCUGCCCUUGGGUACGGAAUAACUCAGAGAAGUUUGUGCUAAUACCGUAUAAUGUCUUCGGACCAAAGAUUUAUCGCCCAAGGAUGAGCCCGCGUAAGAUUAGCUAGUUGGUGAGGUAAGAGCUCACCAAGGCGACGAUCUUUAGCUGGUCUGAGAGGAUGAUCAGCCACACUGGGACUGAGACACGGCCCAGACUCCUACGGGAGGCAGCAGUGGGGAAUAUUGGACAAUGGGCGAAAGCCUGAUCCAGCAAUGCCGCGUGAGUGAUGAAGGCCUUAGGUUGUAAAGCUCUUUUACCCGGGAUGAUAAUGACAGUACCGGGAGAAUAAGCUCCGGCUAACUCCGUGCCAGCAGCAGCCG